UCAAUUGUCGAACAAAACUUUAUGUUUCCUGUCUAUGCUGGUGUUGCCUCUAACCAUAAAGUUAAUAU